AGCAUGACUGAUUGCGGUUAAUGUGUGUUGCAGGUAUAAAAAGGAAUCAUACAUGCGUAUAUCACAGAUUUUGGUACCUCAGGCAGAUUACAUGUCUAUGUCAAAUUAAAACUGCAAGGACAAAAUUAGAAAAUGAUGUACCUAAUUAAACAAAAAGGUGGCACUGCGAAAGAGAGACUGGGUGCCAGUAUCAAGAGACAUGGUGCGAUACAGAUGCUACUUGGUCUUGGCUGUUUGAUUGUAGGUGUUGUUUCAAUUGGAAUAGACAGAAAACAGUUCGACAUACCAGUUAGAGAAGUCUUAGAAGGAGGAAGAGUGAUAAAUGGCACUUCCUUUGACAUCAAAAAUGUUGUUCUUGGACUAGAUGCAGGUGCUGUAGUUUCUGCUUUUUGGUACACAGUUCACUGACCGAAAGAAGAGGAUAUGAUUCCAUUAUCACUUAUUUGUCCUGAUCACAGGAGCAGUUCCAGCUUAUAUGGCUAGGAAUACUGAUUACAAUUUGAUUAAAACGAAAGUGGUUUUCAUGGUAUUCAGCAUAAUGGCAGCAUCACUGUUUGUACCUAUCAUAACCGGAGCUGCGAUUGCCACCUACGUGCUCCGUAAAAGUCACAUGGGAUUGACUGUUGCUUUAGGUGUGAUGUCCCUUCUAGAAUUUAUAGUUGCCAUUCAAUCAUCGGUCUACUGCUGCUCAUCGCCUUGGGCUGCUUGCAAGAUGGAAAAAAGGGAUAAAGAAAAGAAAGACAUGGAAAAUGAAAUCUACGAAAAACAGAUGUCCAAAGAACAGCUACCGGAAUACACCCCAUAGAUACCUUAUUUUAACCUAGAGGACUGCAUGAAGAUUACACAAAAUCCCAACAAUCAAGUUUUACGCUUUGAAUUUUAUAUGCCUGUCAUUGUCUAUGCCUGUCAUCGUAAUAUUUUGUAUGCUAGCAGCACUAUAUCGAAUGAAAAUAUGAUAUAUAUAAAAAUAUAUAUGCAUUAUGUAUACAAAUUUUUUUUAAUGAUCCAAGAACUGUAAAUUGUGAAUCUUGACGAUUUUGUGAAACAUAACAGCAUUGAAAGGAUC